rnacentral:lncRNA from 1 species
ACUAUUUGGCUUGGUUAAUACAAGUUUCUAAAAUUUUUUAUAUUUGAAAACAACUUAGAACUUAAGGCCUGUUUGGUCCUUGUUUUCAAGAAUUGUUUUCUGUUCUUGAAAAACUGUUCUUGAAAACAAAAAACACAAAAAACUUGUUUGGGGAAGAGGGUGUGUUUUUGUUUUUUGUGUUUUCUGUGUUCUCAAAAACCACUUUUUUUAGAACAAUAAAAAGAUGUUUUCAUUGUUUUUUCACUGUUCAAAGAAUAAAUUGUUUUUC